rnacentral:lncRNA from 1 species
UUUACUUUAAGGGUGAAUAAUAAUAAUGCUUUGGGGAUGACGAAUAAAAGGGCUUCCCCCGGCUAGCCGAGGUGGAGCCAUCGGGGAUAUACCAUCUCUCCUCGUCGAUCUGGAAGGCUUUCUGAAGGAACUGGGGUUUGUGUCCCUGGCACUCCGGGGACCUGCGUGGGGCUCAGCGCGCUGCCAGGCGGCCUCAGCAGCCCAGAGCUUCAGCGGUUGCUAUGGCAACAGGCCGCCCCGAGCAGCAAAGUCCCUGCGUGGGCGACUGCACUUCCCAAGCGCGGAGAGUCUGCCCAGUGAGUUCCGCCCUCUCUAGCGCGCUUUCUGUGAUCCACCAAUCAGGCGCUGCUUAAGGGAGGAGCCAAGACUUUUAAGUCGAGUGUUCCUGUGGGGCCAAAAGGAUGGUUUCAGAGAAAUCCCAGGAAGUGAGAGUGCUGGGAUAUGCGAGGGGCCCACGGAGCCCUCCCCUGCGUGUCUGAGAUCACACCCUGCGGGUACCCUGCCGUCAUGUGCUGAAGGGCCCAGGAGAGAAAGGAUAGAAGGAAGCCUGAAUGACCAGCAAAGAAUCUGCAUCCAAUCAACACUCAGAGCAUGUAUGCUACUUUCUUCAGAAACCUUCAGGAGUCAUAGACUAUGGUCAGUUCUUCAUCAGAAUUAUUUUAGAUUUACUUCAGUUGUUUUUUCAUCAAAUGCACAUAAAACAUGGAAUUGUUCUUAGCUGUGCAGACCUUGUCUAUUUUCUGAAAGGAAAAACAAUGUUAAUUUUUAAAGCCCUACAUACAUGACAUCUUUGUACUUUUCAAAUCAUUGUGUCACCCCCUUCCCUUCUCUUUUGACGGUGCCUGGCUGAAUCUCUCCUAUUCUCACAAUGGCUUUGCCUCCAUUCUGCUGAAGUCGCUUCCCAUUGCUCACAUUAUUAUACUGUUUUUACUUCACUUCCAAGCUUGUUUCUGACUACACAAAGGGUGCUGUAAUUCUGAGUUCCCUAUAUAUAGAGUUGCUUUUCCAGGAACAUUAUUAAUAAAAG